UACGUAGGCAGCGAGCGUCGUUCGGAUUUACUGGGCGUAAAGGGUGUGUAGGCGGUUGUUUAAGUUUGGUGUGAAAUCUCCCGGCUCAACUGGGAGGGUGCGCCGAAUACUGAAUGACUAGAGUGCGGGAGAGGAAAGUGGAAUUCCUGGUGUAGCGGUGAAAUGCGUAGAUAUCAGGAGGAACACCGGUGGUGUAGACGGCUUUCUGGACCGUAACUGACGCUGAGACACGAAAGCGUGGGUAGCAAACAGG
rnacentral:rRNA from 1 species